CUGGUUGAUCCUGCCAGAGGUCACUGCUAUCAGUAUUCGACUAAGCCAUGCGAGUCAAAUGUUCUUCGUGAACAUGGCGUACUGCUCAGUAACACGUGGAUAAUCUGCCCUAAGGUCAGGCAUAACUCCGGGAAACUGGUGAUAAUACGUGAUAUAUCAUAGACGCUGGAAUGUUCUGUGAUCAAAAGCUCCGGUGCCUUAGGAUGAAUCUGCGGCCUAUCAGGUUGUAGUGGGUGUAAUGUACCUACUAGCCGACGACGGGUACGGGUUGUGAGAGCAAGAGCCCGGAGAUGGAUUCUGAGACAUGAAUCCAGGCCCUACGGGGCGCAGCAGGCGCGAAAUCUUUACAAUGCGGGGAACCGCGAUAAGGGGAUACUGAGUGCCAGCAUAUUAUGUUGGCUGUCCACCUGUAUAAAUAGCAGGUGUUAGCAAGGGCCGGGCAAGACUGGUGCCAGCCGCCGCGGUAACACCGGCGGCCCGAGUGGUGGCCACUAUUAUUGGGUCUAAAGGGUCCGUAGCCGGUUCGAUCAGUCUUCCGGGAAAUCUGACAGCUCAACUGUUAGGCUUCCGGGGGAUACUGUCGGACUUGGGACCGGGAGAGGUAAGAGGUACUACAGGGGUAGGAGUGAAAUCUUGUAAUCCUUGUGGGACCACCAGUGGCGAAGGCGUCUUACCAGAACGGGUCCGACGGUGAGGGACGAAAGCUGGGGGCACGAACCGGAUUAGAUACCCGGGUAGUCCCAGCUGUAAACGAUGCUCGCUAGGUGUCUGGGACGGUGCGACCGUUUCAGGUGCCGCAGGGAAGCCGUGAAGCGAGUCACCUGGGAAGUACGGCCGCAAGGCUGAAACUUAAAGGAAUUGGCGGGGGAGCAC
rnacentral:rRNA from 1 species